rnacentral:lncRNA from 1 species
CACUUUAAUAAUUUUAAUAAAUGUAAAUAUUGUUUUCAAUACAUUUUAUAUGUAAUUAUAGCUUAAAAUUCAUGGGCCUUUUUUCAUGAUGGUAGAACAUGAUAUUCUUGCUAGUUUGUUGUUCUAGUUUUAUUAUUUUAGUUUUGAGAUAAGAACUCACUCUUACAUUGACCCUGUGUUUAAUAGGAAGCUUUCGGGGUUCUACACUUUGUUGUAAGCCUCCUGCUUCAACCUCCUAAGUGCUGAGAUUAUGGGCAUGGGACAUCCGGCCCAGGCUCUGUUAAUUAUUUGAGUUUAUCUUCCAUGGUUCUGACUUAGCCUCUUUCCUCUUUUCUUCCUCUCCCUCCCUCCCCUUCCUCCCUCUCUCCCUCUCUCCCUUCCUCUCUCCCUUCCUCCCUCCCUCCCUCUCUCCCUCCCAUUGCUCCCCUCUCCCUUACCUGUUUCUCCUUUCACCCUUUUCAUAUGUUCUUUUGUUUUGCUUUGUUUUGUUCAGGACAGGACUUGCUUGCAAACUUGCCUUAAACGUGUGAUCUUCAGGUCCAAAGUGUUGGCUCUGCAGGUCUUCCUGCCUUCGUAUCCAGUUUGUGCCCUGCAGGAAUCUGGCUUACCAAAAAAGCAAUGAGAUGGUUUUCUUCUUUCAGUCACAACAGACGUGUUCAUUUGAAGACCGGUAGAUGAAAAGAACCCAGAAGAAAAUGGUGCCCUUGCAGCAUCUAAAAAACAGCAAGAAGACUCCAAGUUCACAACACUAUAUUGGGAAAUGUAGCAUUAUCCAAAAUUAACUCAUAUGCGCACUGCCUUAGUGUCGCUGUUGUUGUUCCUGCUGCUCAGGAAUGAAACACUCAGACAAAAACAUUUUACUGGAGAAAAAAAAAUGAUUUAUUUUAGUUGACAUUUCAAGUCACAGUUCCUCAUGGUAGGAGAGUCAAGGUGGCAGGAGCUUGAAGCAGCUGGUCACAUGACAUCCAUAUCUGAGAAGUGCUGUCCAGGGAAUAAUAGUUCUGGCCACAAUUAAGCUGAGUGCCCACUGGACAUGGGGAGGGAUGCCUUUAAUCCCAGCACUCUAGAGGCAGAGGCGGCUUGUCUCCAGGUUUGAGGCUAGCUUGGUCUACAGAGUAAGUUCCAGGACAGUCAGGUUACAGGGAAACCCUAUCUUAGAAAGCCAAAAAAAAUAUAAAAGAAAUUAAAAAACUAAGCAGAGUGUUCCCAUUCUAUUUAUUUAAUCAAGAUAAGCUAUGGCAGGACUGUCCAGAGAUUUAUCUACAUGCAAUGCUAGAUUCUGUCAAGUUGAGAGUUCACACUCACCCUCCAGAACACUAACCAAAUAAAAUAAAUGGCAAUGUCCUCUUGAAAAUGAAG